rnacentral:rRNA from 1 species
AUUGAACGCUGGCGGAAUGCUUUACACAUGCAAGUCGAGCGGCAGCACGGGGGCAACCCUGGUGGCGAGCGGCGAACGGGUGAGUAAUAUAUCGGAACAUGCCCAGUCGUGGGGGAUAACACUUCGAAAGAAGUGCUAAUACCGCAUACGUCCUGAGGGGGAAAGCGGGGGAUCGCAAGACCUCGCGCGAUUGGAGUGGCCGAUGUCAGAUUAGCUAGUUGGUGGGGUAAAGGCCUACCAAGGCAACGAUCUGUAGCUGGUCUGAGAGGAUGAUCAGCCACACUGGGACUGAGACACGGCCCAGACUCCUACGGGAGGCAGCAGUGGGGAAUUUUGGACAAUGGGGGCAACCCUGAUCCAGCCAUUCCGCGUGAGUGAAGAAGGCCUUCGGGUUGUAAAGCUCUUUCGGCAGGAACGAAACGGUGAGCUCUAACAUAGCUUGCUAAUGACGGUACCUGAAGAAGAAGCACCGGCUAACUACGUG